CAGGACAAAUGAUCGCGGCCGGAAGAUUCCCUUCCGGGUGAGGAAAGUCCGGGCUUCACAGGGCAGGAUGCCGGUUAACGGCCGGUGGAGGUGACUCCCAGGAUAGUGCAACAGAAAGUAUACCGCGCCGCCCGGUUUCGGGAGACGUAAGGGUGAAAAGGCAGUGUAAGAGACUACCGGCUGUCUGGUAACAGACAGUGCGUUGUAAACCCCAUCUGAAGCAAGACCAACAGAAAGCAUAAGGCGGCCCGUCUGCUUUCGGGUAGGUCGCUGGAGCCUGGUGGCAACAUCAGGCCUAGAUAGAUGAUCAUUCAACGACAGAACCCGGCUUAUCGGCCUGCUCA
rnacentral:RNase_P_RNA from 1 species